UAUAUUAAAGUUGUUGCAGUUAAAAAGCUCGUAGUUGAACUUCAGACCUGGCUGGGCGGUCCGCUUAACGGCGAGUACUGUCUGGCUGGGCCUUACCUCUUGGUGAGCCGGCGUGCCCUUUAUUGGUGUGCGUUGGGGAACCAGGACUUUUACCUUGAGAAAAUUAGAGUGUUCAAAGCAGGCCUGUGCCUGAAUACAUUAGCAUGGAAUAAUAAAAUAGGACGUGCGGUUCUAUUUUGUUGGUUUCUAGAGUCGCCGUAAUGAUUAAUAGGGAUAGUUGGGGGCAUUGGUAUUGAGUCGCUAGAGGUGAAAUUCUUGGAUUGACUCAAGACCAACUACUGCGAAAGCAUUUGCCAAGGAUGUUUUCAUUAAUCAAGAACGAAGGUUAGGGGAUCGAAAACGAUCAGAUACCGUUGUAGUCUUAACAGUAAACUAUGCCGACUAGGGAUCGGGCAAUCUCAAACAUGAUGUGUUGCUCGGCACCUUACGAGAAAUCAAAGUCUUUGG
rnacentral:rRNA from 1 species